UACAGAGGUCUCAAGCGUUGUUCGGAAUUACUGGGCGUAAAGAGCGUGUAGGCGGUGCUCUAAGUUCGGUGUGAAAUCUCCCGGCUUAACUGGGAGGGUGCGCCGGAAACUGGAGUGCUCGAGCGUGGGAGAGGAAAGCGGAAUUCCUGGUGUAGCGGUGAAAUGCGUAGAUAUCAGGAGGAACACCUGCGGUGUAGACGGCUUUCUGGACCAUUGCUGACGCUGAGACACGAAAGCGUGGGUAGCAAACAGG
rnacentral:rRNA from 1 species